CAACAACAUCAGGCAACAUUGUUUUGUUCCUUUGUCCAUGAAAAUUCUUAAGAUAAAAUACGAUGUUAAAAUUAACAAACCAACAAAAUGAGGCAUUUCUUUGAAUCAUACUUAUCUGUAACAGGUAAACAACAGCAUAUUUUUAUUCAUAUUUUUAAAACUGUGUAAAAACAUCACCUUGACCCUAUGUGAUCUUAGAGAAAUGGGAUGAACUUUUAACAACUCAUCUGCUACAUUUCUAAAUGGGCACAACUUGUUAAGAGAUGAGAAAUCUGCUAAGAGAGCAGUGACGUCAUUGUCAAAAGUGGUCAAAGGAGCAGGGAAAACAAAGUACAUCCCAGCAGAUGAAGGAAAAAGAGCUAUGGAAAAAGAUGAAGGAAAAUGAGCUGAGAGAAGAGGAAAGAAAGGAACAGCAUGGUCAGAUUUCCCUCUCACCCUGGGGCUGAGCUUCCAGGUAUGCCAAAAGAGUUCAUUGUUGUUAAACUUCUUUGACAGCUUAAGAUAGUCCAAAAUGGAAUCAUUGCCCAGGAAAGGACUGUGAUGCCUCCUCCCCUCCACUCCCAAGAAAGGGUAGACCAGCACCAGGGGCCUUUUACAAGCUCAGUGUAUUUCUGAGGUUGCAAAGCUCUCCUGUCCAACACACUGACACUAUUGGUAAGUUCAGGCUCUCCCAGGCACUGGACUAUUAAAUACAGAGCUGCGA